rnacentral:rRNA from 1 species
UACAGAGGGUGCAAGCGUUAAUCGGAAUUACUGGGCGUAAAGCGUGCGUAGACGGUUGCGUAAGUCAGAUGUGAAAGCCCCGGGCUCAACCUGGGAAUUGCAUUUGAGACUGCGUAGCUAGGGUGCGGAAGAGGGAAGCGGAAUUUCCGGUGUAGCGGUGAAAUGCGUAGAUAUCGGAAGGAACACCAGUGGCGAAAGCGGCUUCCUGGACAACUCCUGACGCUGAGGCACGAAAGCUAGGGGAGCAAACAGG